rnacentral:tmRNA from 1 species
GGGGAUGACGGAUUUCGACAGUCCUUUGAGAUGUUUGUAAUAUGCAAGACGAGCACGCCUAUUUGGUCUCGCUAAUCCCGUGGGCAUCCAACAAAUGCUAAACAAGCAUCUUGGGAGAAAGUAAAAGCUGCGUUUUCUAACGCAAGCUUCGCUUUCGCUCCAGUAGCUGCUUAAUUUUUUAGGUAGCUACCUAGCCCUUACGCUUUUCCCGUCGUAAGUCCAGCUAGUUUAUUUGGGAAUAUAUGUACGGCGGUUGAUUUACCUGCUGUACAUGAAUUUUGUAAAUCGACUAUUCUGGCUUGUCGUCAGCUACGAUACAGAAUAGUACUACUAGCUGACUAAUCUUGUGAACAAUUACGGCGUCAACAAGCUCUGGACGGGGGUUUAACUCCCCCCAUCUCCACCA